rnacentral:rRNA from 1 species
AGUGAACGCUGGCGGUAGGCCUAACACAUGCAAGUCGAACGGCAGCACAGUAAGAGCUUGCUCUUACGGGUGGCGAGUGGCGGACGGGUGAGGAAUACAUCGGAAUCUACUUUUUCGUGGGGGAUAACGUAGGGAAACUUACGCUAAUACCGCAUACGACCUACGGGUGAAAGCAGGGGAUCUUCGGACCUUGCGCGAUUGAAUGAGCCGAUGUCGGAUUAGCUAGUUGGCGGGGUAAAGGCCCACCAAGGCGACGAUCCGUAGCUGGUCUGAGAGGAUGAACAGCCACACUGGAACUGAGACACGGUCCAGACUCCUACGGGAGGCAGCAGUGGGGAAUAUUGGACAAUGGGCGCAAGCCUGAUCCAGCCACACCGCGUGGGUGAAGAAGGCCUUCGGGUUGUAAAGCCCUUUUGUUGGGAAAGAAAAGCAGCAGGUUAAUACCCCGCUGUUCUGACGGUACCCAAAGAAUAAGCACCGGCUAACUUCGUG